UCACACUUUGGCAUGGUCUAUUUGGUUCCAGUAAUUAUUAGAUAAAAAUUGGCUUUAUGUGAGGUUAAUCUUUGCCCAAUAGCCAGAGAAGCACCCUCACCUUCCUAACACACGCCAAGGCAAGAAACAAAAGAAGGGGGGGGGGGGUGUUAUCACUUUGGUAGACUGGUAUCCAGUACACUGAUUGUACAAAUUCUUCUCUCUUCUGGGAGAAUAUUUGUUAUAAUCAGUCUUCUUAUUGGUGCCAUGGGGAUCUUUGACCCAGCAGACCUAGACACACAAGUGGUCUGCAACAAAAAAUCAAAUGCGGUAAACAACCCAACCAAAACAACAUGAAAUAAAAUAAGAGAAACAAACAAUUUCUACUAGCAAAAUAAUAUCUCAUAAAUUUCUGGAAAAAGCAACUGUUUCCAUGAUUAGUUUAUUGACAUAAUCUUCUGCUGCUGCCACAACGGCUGGCCUUGAGAGCUUAUUGCAGCAACUCUUACUGUAAUAGCACUUUCCUCAGUUUUAAAGGACUGGACAGUUUUAUUCUCCAAAAAAAUAAAAAAAGAAUGGACAGUUUUAAGUAUUUUGAAUCGCAUGACCUCCUCCCUCUUCUUAUAUUCUACGCUAGUACCUUCUAUAGUGCCUAAAGUUUCAACUUCUGUUUUUCCAAUUUUUUUCUGUUUAAGUGAUUCUUCCAGUAAUGUGUCAAAAACAUUGUGUCUUCUUUACAGUGGAAAGGAUCAGCUCUUCCCGAGUCAAGAGGAAGGUGAAAGACUCCGUCAUGCACUGUCAAAAUGUCAGAUUCGUAAAUUUAAUGACAAUGGCCAUUUUCUCUUCUUGGUAGGUUUUCUUCUUGCUUUCUUUAUAUGUGUGGGUGUGUUCAAUUGUGCGCAUUAAUGAGAUUCAGAGUUUAGAAUUCAAAUGUUAAAAUCUCAUAGUUUAUUUGCUUGCUUGUGCCCUUAUAAUUUUUUGCUUCAUUAUGUGCCAUGAUAUGAUGUAAGUUCAUAUGAACAUGGGGUGAGUGUAUCUGCAUGUUUUAUAGCAUAAUUUGCACUCAAAAUGUGUUAUUUCAUUUUCAUUUUGAUGUUCAUAGCACACCUUCCCAUGUGUUGCAGGAAGAUGAUAUCGAUUUAGUAACUAUCAUAAAGGGUACAAGUUUCUAUCGCCGUGGAAAAAAUCAUGACUAUGUUUCAGAUUUCAUCCCACCAACCCCUGAUGAAUUCAGAAAGAUAUAUGAAUCAAACAGGUAAAAUAUAACUUGCUAAGGUUCUAAUAAUACAAGUUAGAUAUCUGCGAUAACAAAAUAAAAAAUUGGCAGGUACGUAUUCAAGCUAUUAAUGAAAUGACAACAUCAUCUGCCCAAAGAAUGCCAGUUGAAAGUUGGCUGAAAAUAAUCGAUUGGGCAAUCCAUUUGUUCCAUUAACAGUUAUCACGGGACUAUAAGGUUUACUGGUGUUAAGAAAAUUGUCUAAUGGAACAUGUGAAUAUGCUUAAUAUAACUUGGUAUCCUGGUCUUGGUGUUUGUUGUGUUAAUCUGAUUACCUAAUAAUUCCCUUAACCGCCCUCACUACAGCAUGCUUAUGAUUAACCGAGUUGUGAUUUCAUUAAUUUUGUAUUUUAUUAUUGGCUCACGACUAAGAUUGUCCUAGGGGGAUUUAUGUUGCUACUGGCCCUGUCAUGCUCUCAACUUUAGAGGAUGGAAAGAUUGUUAGGGGCCUUGCUGGUAUUCCUUCUGAGGGUCCUGUCUUAUUCGUUGGCUAUCACAUGUUACUAGGACUUGAAUUGACUCCUCUGGUAUGCCAAUUUAUGAUCGAAAGAAAUAUUCUUCUACGAGGAAUUGCACAUCCACUGAUGUUUAUCAGAUUGAGAGACGGAUUGUUACCUGAUUUAGCAACAUUCGACACGCAUAGAAUAAUGGGUGCAGUUCCUGUCUCAGGAACCAACUUCUACAAGCUUUUAUCUUCAAAGUCUCAUGUCCUACUGUAUCCUGGAGGCAUGCGUGAGGCUCUUCAUAGAAAGGUAACAUCUCUCAGUUAAGUUGUUACCUUCAUGGCUUCAUCCUAACUUUUAAAUUCAUAAACUAGUUUGAUGUUCACUUCAUUCAGAAUUAUGCGAAUUCACUCUAAUACCAAAACUUCAAUUUCCAAAUUCCUAUAUGCUAUUUUAUAAAUGCAAUAAUUUGAAAGAGAAGAUAGCAAGUUGGUGAAUUGCCUAUUUACUUCUGCAAACUAUGAAUGCAAAAAUCUUCGAAUGAGCUAAAUGAUAUAUCUUGUUAUAUGACGCAAAUAACCUUGCUGUUACAAUAAAUUUAAUUUACUUUAUUUAUGUUUGUCCUGAAAUUUGAAUUCUCUUUCCAUGAUGUAAUGCUGACUAGCUUCACAUGUCCAUGUCACAGUCUUACUUGAGUAGGGUGAUUUUGUUUGAGCAUGCAUGCAUGCAUCUGUUUUGUGGGACUACAAGUACUAGAUAUUCUCCUUCUUCAUUUCUUUCUGUUUGAUGGUUUUAUAAACUUGUACAAAAAUGAGACGCUAGGUAUACUUGUUAAAAUUCAGAAUGUUUUAUCUCAUCUCUUCAUACUUUUAGGGUGAAGAGUAUAAGUUGUUGUGGCCAGAUCACUCUGAGUUUGUCAGGAUGGCAGCUAGAUUUGGGGCUAAAAUCAUACCUUUUGGUGCUGUUGGAGAAGAUGAUAUUGGUCAAGUAAGCCUGAAACAUUACCUCUGCUGUAUAUUUCUGCUUAUUUUUCAGAUUCAUUUAAUCAGCCACUAGCUUUAAGUCAACCUCUGGUAUCUAACGAACAGUUGAUUGCAUAAUCAUUGACGUCAGGUAGUUUUUGAUUAUGAUGACUUGAUGAAGAUUCCUUACUUUAAAGCUCAAAUAGAGGCAUUAACAAGCGAGACUAUCAAGUUGAGGUAGUUUGAGUUAUUUUGUAUGUUUUUCCUUUACAUUUUUCAUUUAGUCAAUAUCUAUGCCUUCCUGCAUGGCCUCAUUAGAGUUUGACAUGAUCUGCUGAUGAUAGGACUGAUGCAAACGGUGAGAUACAGAAUCAAGAUAUUCAUCUCCCAGGCAUUCUACCCAAACUUCCAGGCCGCUUUUAUUAUUAUUUUGGGAAACCAAUUGAAACAGAAGGUAUUGUUGUUCAAUGACCCAUAUCAUGAAACCUAUCAGGUUACCUAAUUAUGAAGAAUCUAGUCAGGCAAAACAAAUUUUUAUAGUUCAACUGUGUCUAGCUAACUAAACUAAUCUCCUUUUUCGAAAGGCUAAUGAUAUAAUAUGGUGAUAGGAUGUAUUGCUAGAGACAUACAUAAUAACAGUUAUUUUGCUUCCACGACAGAUAUUCUUGAGUGAAAACCACUUCUACCAGUGACCAUGUCGUGUUUGAAUUAUCCAGUACUUUAGUGGCUGAAACAACCAAGAAUUCAACUGGACUGUGACAAUAACUUUUUGUUCAAUGCUUCUUGAUUCUGGGUUCCUUGGCUUGCAAGUAUCCGGCCCAACUAAAAGGCAAACGGUUGAUACUUUGUUAUAAAUCAUUAGUUUAUCCACCUAGAAAAACCACUAGACUAACCUGCUAGAGGUUGUUCAACAUUCAGAUGUGGUAGGUCUAUAUCAAUAGACGCAUGUCUUCUUUCUAAUGUUUUCUAUUUCAGAAUUUAGGGUACUUGUAUAGAUUAAACAAAUUUAAAUUUCAAUAGUUAAAUAAAAUAGUGCCUCUAAGUUGUAGUUAUUGUAUUUUCUUUUAUUGUUGUAUUUUAUUUUUCCCAAAUCUUUCACAGCUUUGAUAUUUAAUGCAAGUUGAUUAACUUAAAUUUUUGUGAAGGGAGGAAACAAGAAUUAAGAGACAGGGAGAAAUGUAACGAGUUGUAUAUAGAAGUAAAGUCUGAGGUUGAAAAGUGCAUUGCUUAUUUAAAGGAGAAGAGAGAAACCGAUCCGUACAGGAAUCUAUUGGCUCGACUUACUUACCAGGCUACACAUGGCUCUACAAAUGAAGUCCCGACUUUUCAAAUCUGAGCAUUGAUUCUUUGUAAUCUCUGAGAAGAUCUGCAAGAGCUUCAGGAAAUAAAGGUAGCAUCAGUUCAUGGAAAAAAAUUAGUUGAUGCGUUAGACAAACAGUUCCAAGAUUAUUUAUUCUUGAUUAGAUAGUAGAAUUUGUUUGAAGAAAAGAACAAGAAAAACAUAGAUAGAUCACACGUUUGUUAAUACUGCACGUAGGAUCUUGUAAUAGACAUUCAUAGCCGUUCAAGACGGAAGAAUAGUGUCUGUUCUCUGUAGAUUAAUUACAACACUAUUUUUUCAGUGAAAUGGAGUAAAAGUAUUAUUGUAUUUGGUACAUGUGGUGAUCGGCUUGGGGACGAGUCUUCCUUGGUCAUUGUUAAGGCUGCUCAUUGUGGAGAAUAUACAGAGGCUAAACAGAACAAGCUUAAGAAGCAAAAUCACGUCAACAUCAGUGAGUCAGCAAAGAUUGUUAAGGAAAGCAAAACUUGAGCUGACAGCUCAGCAUAGAUUGUUGAAGUUUGUUAUUAGUCAUAUGAAAUGUGUGUAACAAAAUAUGAUUAGUUUUAAGUAAUAAGUAAUAAAAGUUUGUUACAGAUUGUUACAUACAUGUAUGUAUAAAUACAUGUGUGUAUUGAUUCAAUAAGUCAAGAGAUUCUAGAUUCAAUAAAAUUCAUUUUUCUUUGUGAUUUUCUCUUCAGCCAAAUACAUUUGUUCUCAAUUUUCACAUGGUAUCAGAACUCUCAGUAUAUGUUCAAUGCUAAUUACAACAUAAUGAAUGCUAAUUACUCACACAUGAGAGGUAACUUUAGGAGAGGUUCUCCUGUUGAUGGACAUUUUGGUCAAUUUGGAGGCAGAAGUUCAAAUCCUACUGGAGGCAUGAUUUCCAAUUCAUAUUCUAAGGGCUUUUCUAUUGGUGGUAGUAACUUUGGUAGUAAAGGUGGUUAUUUUGGUGGAUUUAGCAGAGGUGGUCAUUUUGGUGGAGCUGGCAGGGGUCAAAUUAUGCAAUUUUCCAUACCACCACAUAUAAAGGGCAUGUUUCCUUCUCCUAGAUCUCAAGUUCUAAAAACUGAUGAUUUUGGAGAAGGCAUUUCUAUUUGUCAAAUAUGUCACAAGUAAGGUCACACUGCUGAUGCUUGUGGGCACAUAUAUGAUGACACAUAUUUACCUUUAUCCAAACCUUUUGGUAAAGGUCAAAUGUUUGGGCCAAAGACAGCAUAUAUGGCUAACUUUAAGCCAUUCUCUAGUUAUCAAUCAUCAUUUGAGGAUUAUUAUGAUAUCCCUGACUCCAAUCAUUACUCUUAUGUCAUCUAUCCAUCAGAACAUUUCGCUGUUCCUGAAGCUCAUGUUGCAAAUUUUGAGAGUCCUGCUAAUGAAGGUUGGUAUCUUGACAGUGGUGUUACACAUCACUUAACCAACAAUAUGGCUAAUAUGAAUGUUCGAGAGAAAUUUAAAGGCUCAUUUCAGCUUAUCGUUGGCAAUGGUCAAGGUUUGACUAUUACUCAUAUUGGUGAUGCUUAUUUUAGUUAUAAAGGUUCUAACAUUGCUUAUAAUCAUACACACAUUGCACUUAGAGAUAUACUAUUGGUUCCUUAUAUUACAAAGAAUUUAUUGAGCAUCUCAAAACUGACAGCUGAUAAUAACUUUUUUGUUGAAUUUGUUGGUAAUAUUUGUUAUGUGAAGGAUUCUCUAAAAGGGAAAGUACUUCUACAGGGACUUGCUGAAAAAUGAUUAUACGAGUUGCUUCUGAACUCUUAUCAGUCAACCCAAUUUUCUCAUUCAUCCUUCUUGUGUCAUACCUCUUCCAAUAAGCCUUUGUCAAUGCUUUCUACAUGUUGUUUGAAUUUUUCAUAUUCCAACUAUCGUUUAGAAUAAUGAUACAAGUCUUCUGUCUUGUUAUCAAACUAAUGUUUCUUCCUGUAUUGAACCAGUUAAUGAAAUGACUUUUUUUCAUAGGAGAUUUGAGCAUCCUCAUACUCAGAUACUGUUGCAUUUACUCAAGCAUGUUUCUUUUAUUAAUCUUUCCAAUAAAUCAACUAAACAAACAUUUCAACAUGUUUGUGAAGCCUAUCAACUGGGGAAGAAUCAUAAGUUACAUUUUCUAGUUAUUGAAACAAAAACCUCUCAAGUUCUUGAACUCAUUCACACUUAUUUGUGGGGUCCUUCACCUGUUCUUUCUCAAGAUGGCUAUACCUAUUAUAUCAAUUUUGUUGAUGAUUUUAGUAUAUACACAUGGAUCUAUCAUCUAAAGCUAAAAUCAGAAGCCUUAAGUGUCUUCAAAUUGUUCAAAUUGUAGGUUGAAAAACAAUUUCAAACUACCAUUAAAAUGUUGCAAUUUGACUGGGGAGGAGAAUACAUACCAUAUACUGAUUUCUUAAGUCAAAAUGAGAUCAUCUUUAGGCACUCUUAUCCUUAUACACACCAUCAAAAUGGAUUAGUUGAAAGGAAGCACAAACAUAUUGUUGAAUUAAGACUUACAUUGCUAGCUCAAGCUGAACUACCAUUUACAUUUUGGUGGGAUGUUGUUCACACAGUAGUUUAUCAUAUUAACAGACUGCCAUCUAUAGUCUUAAGCUUUUUUACACCUUAUGAGAGAUUGUUUAAUUAUAAACUUGACUAUAAUAUGCUUAAAUGUUUUGGUUGUGCAUGUUACCCUUACUUGAGAGGUUAUAACAAGCAUAGAUUUGAUUAUCACUCAAAUAAGUGCAUUUUCAUUGAAUAUGGUCUAUCUUACAAAGGAUAUAAGUGUCUACAUUCCUCAGAAAGAGUCUAUAUAGUUAGUCAUGUUAUUUUUUUAUAAAUUUUCAUUUCCUUAUUCCUCAGAUUCUGUUUUUAAUUCUAAAGAAUUUGAUCCUUAUUCAGCUCAAUUAUUCACUUCUCAUCAAGUAUAUAAUUUGUAUGUAUCUUUACUCCCUUAUAAUAGCAGCUACAAUAAUUCUGAUUUGGUAAGCUCCACCAGUAGCAGUGCUAAUCACUCAGAUAAUCUUAAUCCAGCUAACAAUUCUCAUUCAUCCUCACAAAUAAACACCUCAUGUACUUAACCAACAAGUACUUCAAUACAGCAAACCAAUGCACCAUUCAUUAAACCAAACACUCUUUCAUCUUCACAACUACAACCAUAACCAUAUCAACAUGUUUCAUAUGCACCCUUUUAUACUCAAGAAAAUACACACCCUACGACUACCAGAAGCAAAGCUGGUAUAUUCAAGCCUAAAUUGUACUCUGCAACACUCAUUCACAAAUAACCAGAUUUUGGAUAUGAAGCAUUACAAGAUCCCAAAUGGUUUGAAGCCAUGAGGAAAGAGUAUAAUGCUUUAAUAAAAAAAAAUGGCAUAUGGUCAUUAGUUCCAAGAAUAGAUGAUCAUAAAGUGGUUGGUAACAAGUGGGUGUAUAGGGUGAAGUAUAAUACAGAUGGAAGCUUAUCCAAGUACAAAGCCAGGUUGGUAGCCAAGGGUUUUCAGCAGGUUGCAGGGGUAAACUACUUUGAAACAUUCAGUCUUGUAGUCAAACCAGCUACUGUUAGAGUUAUCUUAAACUUGGUUGUUAUUUAUCAGUGGAAGAAAAAGCAAAUUGAUGUGAAUAAUGUCCUUCUCAAUGGAGAUUUGAUGAAAGAUGUUUUUAUGGAUCAAUCAGCAGGUUUCAUUGAUGCUCAAAAACCAGACUAUGUGUGUAAACUUCAUAAAUCUCUUUAUGGACUCAAACAAGCUCCAAGAGCUUGAUAUGAAAAAUUGAAAGGAUGUAUGUUGCAGUGGGGUUUCAUGAACUCCAAAGAUGAUUCUUUUUUUUUUUUUUCAUAAAGAAAACCACCUCAAUCAUGAUUAUGGUGUUGAUAUAUGUUGAUGACAUUUGGUUACAGGACCAAAUAGCAUUGAGCUGGAUAGUUUUAUUACUAAGUUCAGCACAAUAUUUGCAUUAAAAGAUCUUGGCAUUCUUUCUUAUUUUCUGGGGAUAGAAGUAUUGUAUGAUACAAGUUGUGUUUAUUUGUCUCAAAGAAAAUACAUUAGGAACCUGUUAUCAAAAAUCAAAAUGCUUGAAUGCAAUGGCAUUGAUACACCUAUGAGUAUAGGGUCAAAUUGCAUAAAGAAGCUCAGGGAAGUCUUGGACAUUAUGUUGAAGAUCUAACCCACUACAGAAGUAUAGUUGGUGGAAUGCAGUACUUAAUAUUGACAAGACCAUAGAUUGCCUUUGCUGUGAAUAAAUUGAAUCAAUAUAUUUCAUCACCAACAUUGCAGCAUCUUAUGGCAUGUAAACGAGUUUUGAGAUACUUGAAAAGCACUCAAGAUUAUGGUCUUAAAUUUGUUCAAGAUGGAGAUAUGAAACUCACAGCAUUCAUUGAUAUAGACUGGGCUUGUGACUUGGAUGACAGAAAAUCUGUUGGUGUAUAUUGUGUCUACUUAGGCAACAAUUUAAUAUCUUGGUCAUCUAAGAAGCAAUCAGUUGUUAUCAGGUCAAGUGCAGAGAGUGAAUACAAAUCUUUAGCUUCAAUAAGUGCAUAACUUAGUUGGUUACAGUCACUGUUUUCUGAGAUAUGAUUGAGAUGCACAGAAACACCUACCAUUCGGUGUGAUAACAUUAGUGCUACAGAGUUAGCUCGAAAUCCUAUUUAUCAUUCAAGAAUAAAGGAUAUUGAACUUAAUAUGCAUUUGAUCAUAGAUAAGGUAAUUGCUGGUGAGUUUAAUAUUCAUUAUAUUCCAAGCAAUGAAUAAAUUGCUGACAUUAUGACAAAGUCUCUUUCAUUUGUUCACUUCAAUUAUUUAAGAGCCAAACUCAAUGUCCUUCAAUAUCCCUUGAGUUUGAGGGGGGCUGCUAAGUCUGUUGAUUGUGGAGAAUAUACAAAGGCUAAACAGAACAAGCUUAAGAAGCAAAACCACGUCAGCAUCAGUGAGUCAGCAAAGAUUGUUAAGGAAAUCAUAACUUCAACUGACAGCUCAGCAUAAGUUGUCGAAGUUUGUUAUUAGUCAUAUAAAAUGUGUAUAAAAAAAUAUAAUUAGUUUUAAGUAAUAAGUAAUAGAAAUUUGUUACAAAUCGUUACAUACAUGUGUGUAUUGAUUCAAUAAGUUAAGAAGAUUAUGGAAUUAAUAAAAUUAAUUUUUUUCUGUAAUUUUCUCUUCAGCCAAACACGUUUGUUCUCAAUUUUCACAGUCACGACGGUGUGUAUUUUACAAACAUUACUAUUUUAUUGAUAUAUUUACAAUUAAUGGCAUGGACCCUCCUUUUCAAGUGUGUCGGCGGAAGAAGGUGGACUGAUUUUGCAAUUUGCUAAGUAGCCGUUUCGUAUGGUUCACGUGAGCUGCACGAUUGGGGGAGCAUGUGGGCUCACAGAGUCAGUCACUGUCUGUCGGACCGACCGACCAAGUUAGUGUCAAAGAAUAAAAAUAUCUAGGUGAUGGGGUUCUUAACUAAUGAAAUAAAAUUUUGGGGUGAUGAACUUAAAAUUCGGAUUGCUUGAUAACAAAAUGAGGACCUGUCUAUGGUACAGAUUCUGUAACAAACAUCUCCCGUCAUCCCACCAUCCGAUUUUCUUUUGUUUAGUUUCUCACUCCACAUCCAACCACAUCCAACGGCUGAUGCUGCAGUCUGUAGCUUACAGAUUCUGUAAGCUAGUCAAGUCCACAAAAUGAUUUUAAACUAAUAUAGUACUGUCAAAUCAUCUAUAAAUUUGUCGUUGUUGGUGAUAAGUUUUUUCAUCGAUCAAGAGCUUCUUGUCAUAAAAAUGAUAGGAACAUAUCCAAGCCUGCUCAUCUAAAAAAGAUCGUUACACUCCACCACCGGCCAAUACUCAAUCUAUGUAAAUUAGAUUCGUGUCCUUGUCCUUUACACAAUCAACUUAUUGAUUCGAAGCUUAAAGAAAUUAGGUCAGAGUGAGAGAGAGGAAAAAGCCAAAAAUAAAUAAAUAAAUAAAUUACGUUUCACUUACGACUCAAGAUAUUCCACUAUAUUUGAACAUGUGUUUUGUCUAGAAUAUAAAUUGUACACUUAAAAAGUAUAUGAUAUUGUAUGCCAGAUUUGAAAGCUCAGCAUUAUUGCACGUUUGAAAGUAUCACAAUAUUUUAUCUUUUAUUGAGGUCAUCGACGUGUUCUUUGGUCAAACCUCAUUGUCAUGGACAAAUGAGAAUUAUUACAGAAAAUUAUUUUAAAAGGUCACAUAUUGUUUAUUUAAUAAUAAUAGGGAUCUCAAAAAUUAAAUUAUUAUUAUUAUUAAUAAAAACAAUGAUAACAAUCAUAUUAACAACAACAACAACAAUAAUAAUGAUAAUAAUAAUAAUUAUUAUUAUUAUUAAUAAAAACAAUGACAGAAUAAUAAUAAUAACAAUAACAAUGAUAAAAUAAUAAAACAAUAUAUUAAUGCAAGACAAAAGUAGAAUUAUGAAAUUUAGUUGGAGUAAAAUGGUGGGUUUAAAGAAUGAAAACUUAAUUUCCAUGGGAGAUGAGAAUUAAAUUUUCGUUCCUUAAUCCUUAAAGUGCAUGAGCUCUAUAUAUUUCAUUCUAAUUUCUUUAUUGUUUUAAUAAGUAAAUAUCAUUAAUUAUUUUUAUUCUAAAUUCAAAUUCUUCAAUCUCUCAAGUAAACACUAUUAACGGUGCGAUGCUAUAUUAAUUAAAAAGGGCUUGGGAGAGGACCAAUGAAGGGAAAGAAAAAAAAAACUUUUCUAAUAUUUUAUAAACUACUAUCGAACUUCAUUUUUUUCAAACUAUUAUAACCAUACCAAUGGGGUGACUAUUUACCUUAAAAUUAAGAGGAGAAGAUGGGGAGAAGAUGACGACCACUUCAAUUAAUUCAAUUGCAAUUAAAUAAUUAAAAAAUUGAAUAGAGAAAUUAAAAUUAAAAGAGAAGAAGAAUAACACUAACCUCCCUAGUGUUUUUCACUUUUACUACUUAAUUAAAUCUUUGAUUUUUUUCGUUACAAAAAAUCUUUAUUUUUUUAAUUAGUUAUUGCAUCUUUUACGUUAAAAUAAUAUAAAAUACACUCUUUUUUUUGCAUUGUAACCUUACUAUUAAAUUUUAAUAUGGUUUGUUUGUCAAAAGGUAAAUUAAUAUGGUGGUACACUGUAGACUCUACGCAACAUUAGUUCGUCGCCAUUUAUUAACUUAUAUUUUAAAUUUUUUUUAAAAAAAAGACAAUUUACAAACUUGGUAGCUGACAGCUGACUCCACAUUCUUUAAUUGGUAAGAAACAAGAAGUUAUAUUAUAUUCACAGCUGAUCAGCUAUCCAAAUCUUAUAUUUCUAAGUAAUGUUAAUAAAUAUUAUAAAAAUUAUGUUGAACACUUUAAUUUAAAAAAAAAAAAUUUAUUAUAUCAUCAUCUAUUACACGAAGGGUCCGACUGUAUUGCUCUACUAUAAUGUACUGCUAUAACCAUACGAUCAUAGCAAUAAUUUAUUUUUUACUAUUUAUAUAUCAUUUUGAUCGUGUGGUUAUGAGACAGUACUCUACAAUGGAGCAACACCAUAGCCAUUGUGUUAUAUGAAUUACUAUUAAUUGUAAGAUAGAUUAAAUGUAUCUUACAAUUAAGUUUUUUAGUACAAAAAUGAAAAAUGAAAUAUGAAAUAGUGGAAUCAAAAGGCCCAGUGAAUGUAUUUUACCUAGUUAUAAGUUACAUUAAAUGUAAUUUAGAGAGACCCUCAAGGCAAUAUAUUAUAAGUCAUUAUUAUAUGAUUUCUUUUAAUACUAAUAUAAUACUCAUUUUUAAUGGAUAUUUCUCAUGUUAUUAAACGCUAGAAUUUUUAUUUCCAACAUCUUAUACUUAGAUGGACAAUGAGGAAUUCAUUAUUUUGAAAAAAAUUUGACUACAAAUUAUGUGCAAUACUUUUUAUUGUAAAAUAGCCUUUUCUUUUAACUUCUUCUUCUCCUAAUCUCCUUCUUUUUUUUUUAAAGUAUUUAUAGAAUUAUUAUUUUUUUUUGAGCACAAAAUUCAAUAUUGAAGAUAAAUAAAUAAAAUUAAUAAUUAAAUUGAAUAAAAUAAUUUUUGUACAAUUUGACUUAAUUAUAUUGUUGUAAAUAUGCAUUAAAUCUCUUAAAAUUAUGUGUCUUAAACAUUUUUUGGUGUUUUAAACAAAUAAAGUUAAUUAAUUUUUAAAAAAUUUAAAAAUUUUGAAUUUUUUAAAUUAAUAUUUAAAAUACACAUAAUAAUAAAAUUUUCAAAAUAAUUUUUAAAACGAAAUGACACCAAGAGAAAAAUACACUCGUUUUCGCACUUUCCCCUCCUUGUUCUGUUGUUCAUUUAUAUUAUUUUAAUCAUAUAUUCCGUUCAUUCACAAUAAAUUGACUUUUAAAUUAUAUUAGAUCAAAUCUGUUUACUAAAGAUGGAAAAACAUUCCAAGAACCUUACAUAACAUCACAAGUCACAAAAGCGCCACAAAACAAACAGAGGGAGAGAGAAAUUCUUACUUUGGUUCUAGAUGGCGACGGUCGGAGCUUGCAUCUUUUCGGCCGUUUCCUCGCCGGUUUUUCGUCGACAAAUUACGUCGUCGUCCGAGAAGCCGAAACGGAAUCCUAUAUUGAAGCGAGUAGCGGUGUCAACGGAGCGGACAUCAGCUGCAACGACGACAGUGAUGACGGAAACGACGCCGACGAGGAUAUUUGUGGAGAAGAAGAGUAGCGAGUUAGUAGAAGAUGAAGCUGAGACGAAACAGAGAGUUAACGUGAGAGAAUAUUCGGAGGAGGAGAGUGAAGGUAACGGAAAGAGCUUGAAAGAUUACUUUGAUGAAGCCGAAGAUAUGAUCAAAUCGUCAUCAGGCGGCGGUCCGCCCCGCUGGUUCUCGCCUUUAGAAUGCGGGUCCCACACUCGCGAUUCUCCUCUCCUCCUCUUUUUGCCUGGUGCGUUUCUCUUUUUAGCCAAUCGGUUAUUAUUGUUUAUGUCGUCACCUUUUACAUUUUUUAAUGCUCAUGCUUUAUCCAAAAAUCAUUUGCUAAUUAUUAACAUACUUUUUAUAAUAUUUUACGGGAUCAGGCUACGGUGCAACUGUGGUACCGUGUCACAGUUGCAUCCAGCC
rnacentral:lncRNA from 1 species